rnacentral:misc_RNA from 1 species
AGAGAGCAUAGCGCGAGUUCACCACUCUUGUAGAUAUGAAGAUCAGCAGUUGAUCGCGUAGUCAUGAGAAGGGACGCAAAUUGACUUGCUGUGACAAAUAUCAAUGCCAACAAGAUAAAUAUACGGUACCUAUGGCUAAUGAUCCGCAAGUGCCUCCUGAUUCUAAGGUGCUCUCUCAACACUGUCUCAACAUCAGAAUCAAUAUGGAAGAUUUGAGCAAAAUCUCUCAAUCGGAGAAUCUGAAGGUAACAAAUCAAGCGAAACAGGACACACACUAGGAAAAACACGGUCGUUCUGUAAAGCCAUGAGCUCAGCUCUAGAAGGCACGCGACAACAUCACUCACAAUGACAUUGCCUAAAAAGGGGAUUUGAGUUCCACCUGAACUGUACCACCAAAUCUUAUAUAUGCUUUCAGCAGCGAAACAUGGCAGGACAAAAAUGAAUAGGAUCUUCAAUGAUCUAUUGAGCUCUUCCAUAUAGCAUUUCCUUACAGUCUCACUUUCAUCACAAAGCUUAUCAAGAAACAAGAACCUACGAAGCCCAAAUUUCUUCACAAAUCCAGUAAGACAAAUAAAAGAGAGAGCAGCAACACCACUAAGAGACAACUGAACAACAUUAUCAUAAGGUCUAUCAUGAUUAGCAUCACAAUCUGCACAAGCCAAUAAGAAAUGGGACAAACAUGGAACAACAAUUACAAAUAUUAUAAAAACAAACCAAGACAAAACAGUAGAUAAUGUAUCAGAUUGAUCCACACACAUCCACUUCAACCAUCUCCUAAAUACACGCAAUUCAUCGUAAGCAUGUGAUUUACUACGUGCAUAUAAUAUACUCUUCUUGUUCAGUAAAGAUUGGCUUUGGCUUUCGCCUUUACUUUCAUCCCCCAUUGAAAAAAAUCAAAUUUUUUUCUGGGUUUUUGAUGAAACUGUAGAAAGUUUAAAUCGUUUUUCUGGGUAUUUGAUGAAAAAUGGAAAAAGUUUCAAUCUUUUUUUCUGGGU